GAUGAACGCUGGCGGCGUGCCUAAUACAUGCAAGUCGAGCGGUAAGGCCCUUCGGGGUACACGAGCGGCGGACGGCUGAGUAACACGUAGGAACAUACCCCAAAGUGAGGGAUAAGCACCAGAAAUGGUGUCUAAUACCGCAUGUGCUCUAAGGAGUAAAGCUUCGGCGCUUUGGGAAUGGCCUGCGUCCGAUUAGCUUGUUGGCGAGGUAAUAGCUCACCAAGGCGACGAUCGGUAGCUGGUCUGAGAGGAUGAUCAGCCAGACUGGGACUGAGACACGGCCCAGACUCCUACGGGAGGCAGCAGUAGGGAAUUUUCCACAAUGGGAGAAAGCCUGAUGGAGCAACGCCGCGUGCAGGAUGAAGGCCUUAGGGUUGUAAACUGCUUUUAUAUGUGACGAUUAUGACGGUAGCAUAUGAAUAAGGAUCGGCUAACUCCGUGCCAGCAGCCGCCGUAAAAC
rnacentral:rRNA from 1 species